rnacentral:rRNA from 1 species
GAAUAAUUCACAAUGGACGAAAGUCUGAUGGUGCAACGCCGCGUGGAGGAUGACGGUCCUCGGAUUGUAAACUCCUGUCAUCAGGGAGUAAGACCUGGGUGUUAAUAGCACACAGGGUUGAUAGUACCUGACGAGGAAGGGACGGCUAACUUCGUGCCAGCAGCCGCGGUAAUACGAAGGUCCCAAGCGGUGUUCGGAAUCACUGGGCGUAAAGGGAGCGUAGGCGGUAUGGUAAUUCAGAUGUGAAAUCCCGGGGCUCAACCCCGGAACUGCAUCCGAUACUGCCGUGCUAGAGUAUUGGAGAGGUAGCAGGAAUUCACGGUGUAGCAGUGAAAUGCGUAGAUAUCGUGAGGAAGACCGAUGGCGAAAGCAUGCUACUGGACAAUUACUGACGCUGAGGCUCGAAGGCUAGGGUAGCGAAAGGG